UCCUGCUCUAAGCAUAGCUCAACACAGUGAGAAAUUCACCCUUCCUUCUCCUUUGCUUCUUUGAGGACCAAAAAAGCUUUUUCACGCUGUAUUCCUUUAAGACACAAUUAUCACACACAGCUUUUGUGGGCUCUCCUCAUCUCAUUAGACCUGGAAAAGCUGUAAGGCUGUGCUAAUUACAAAUGAUCAGAUGCUGUGCUAGCUCCUCCUCCAGUGGUCCUUUUCCUUCUUCUAGCCCCUGUCUCCUUUGUCUCCCUAAGUCAGUGAGGUUAUCUUUUUUUUCUAUCUAAGAAUAAGUAAAGAAGGUUCUUUCCCAAAGAGUUAAGGCUAGAAAGCAAGCUUUAGGUGGAACACACCAAAAUGGCUCAUCAGAACAACUUAGGGCAUUCCCAUGUCCCUGUGGAGGAGACUGAUGCAGCAGGAAACCAAGGCCAGCAGGAUGCUAGACUACAGCAAACUAGAUUUCGGAGAAGAAAAUGCAAGGAGCUACAUUCAGCACGGCCAGGGGGAGAAGAAACUAGGGUUUUGCAAGUUUACAGAUUUAUGAGUCGUCCCCCAGCUAUCAGCGUGCGCUCCACUGGUGAAGAGGCUCUGGGGCUGUCUAGCAUUCCUGUGCCGAGAAACAGUGGAAAGACUGUGAAAACACUGGCUAGGUCUGCCAGCCAUUGGGUACGGCUGGAACCUGUACCGUGUUGGGUCAAAGACUGUACUGGGCUGGCCUGCUCAGCAGAUCAUGGUCCUAGAAGACAUCUGCUAAAAGCCAAUCUCCAAGCUGAGGAAGAUAGCUUGAGAUCAGUAUUAAGAGAGGAAUUUUUCUCAAGGGAUGAAGACUAUGAUGACUUGGGGACAGUCAGCUCCCAGGAAGAUGUUGUCAGCAGUGAUGCUCCCAGAAGCUUGGCAGAAGAGUUUUCACUAGUUCCCUUAAAUAUGCGAAGGAAAUAUUCUGCUCAGAAUUUUGACCUGCUAGUAGAAAGACGUUUUAAAAGGGUCUGA
rnacentral:lncRNA from 1 species